rnacentral:tRNA from 1 species
GGAGGGGUCGCAUAGUUGGUCUAGUGCGCUGGUUUCGAAAACCAGUAUACCGAAAGGUAUCGGGAGUUCGAAUCUCCCCCCCUCCG